rnacentral:lncRNA from 1 species
UUACACAUAUCCUCAGUGAUUGAUAUAAUCUUGCAUCCAGUUCAUGUUAAGUUAUGGGCAUAGAAAACUCUAGAGGAAAGAACCGAAUACAAGAUAAUAUCUUAACGUUUCAGAAACCAAAAUGUGGACUACCAUGCACAAUGCAAUGCAGAAGAGCUCACUGGAUAUAGUGCACAGUUGUUUUUCAGUUAUAAAACUACUCUGGAGCUCAUAAAAUGAAGCAUUAUAAUCAACAUUAUUGUCAUCCGAGAUAUAUAAUCUUAUUUUUACCAUUGUAAUGAAAAAGCAAACACAAACAUGCCAAUACACUUGCCCUAAUUGACCUUUCCCUUGAAAAUCGAUAAAGCGAAGGUUUGUUUUGUCAACAUGAUCCCAUGGUAAUGCUCAUGUUUUUCUAAUGUUGUCUCGUGCUCAUCAACCCAAAAUGCAUACAUGUAAUACCAAUAUUGAAAUAUAAAUAUAAAAACAUAUCCACAUUUUGGUACUUAUGGGUGGGAGAGGGGGAACUUAUCAAGAACCUCAUCAACCCAAACAGGCAAUAUGUAUUGCCUGACCAAACAUAGCCCUUAAACCAACCACCACUUGGAUAUUGAAAGAAUGAGGAUGUAUCACAUGUACUUCCGCCAAAGAUAUCAACCAAUGAGGUUAUACACAUAUCCUCAGUGAUUGAUAUAAUCUUGCAUCCAGUUCAUGUUAAGUUAUGGGCAUAGAAAACUCUAUAGUCCAUACAGCAUAUUUGCAGGCCAAUCUCAAAAUACACCACUAGCAAGGCUUUCCCUUAAGGAAUAGUAUUCCCAAUACUCAAAACAAAUUCAACACUUUUAUUAAAUAUUAUUCCUUUUAAAAUUACUUUAAAACACUUCUAAACAUUUAAAGAUGCAUGUAAACAGUUCUUUAUAAAUCGUUCAUAAUUCAAUAAAUUCUCAUGAAUUUGACCACAUACGGACUUUUAAAAGUUGAGUUAAGGCAAUGAACUCAUAUCAAAAUGAACAUUGUCAUUAUUCUAAUAACAUCUUCAGCAUGUGGAAAGCUUGUAAGCAAAGGGACUUAACCUCCAAGUGUAAACUAUGCUGGCUUGUCUCUUUCUUUACUGUUGUUGAAUCAAACACACUCUUUACUUCAUAAUCAGGAACAUUGACAAUUGUAUUUCCACUCGAUUCUUCACAUGUCUGCUGAAAAUAUAUUAACCAAUAACAAAUUGUUUAUUUGUACUAAAGACAGCAUUAGUCACACUUUGAAAAGGAAAAAUCCCUUUGCCUACAAUCCACGUGGAAAACCACUAGGGAAUCAGUGUCCCUCGAACUGUAGACAAAGAAAUUUAAAUUAAAAAAUUUAACCAUACAUAAAAUUUAAGUAUACAUUUGUACUAGUAUACAAAAUCAUUCAACAUUAUAUUUAUUUAUUAAUUUAGAUAAAACAAAACAAAACAAAACAAAAAUAUUGCAACCAUUAUUUAAUCUCCCAUGACAAAAAAAUUUUUGUGACAUAUUUCAACACAUCAAUGAAAUUAAAUACACAUCCAAUAGAAAACAUCAUGAAAUUACGGAAAAAUUAUUAGCAUUACUUUUAA